GUAAGGUUCCAGGCAUGUUGCUUUCGAGUUUCACAAAUUGUUCUUUAAUGGCUUCACCCAUUUCAGCUCAAGCUUCCCGGUAAUCAGAGUAAACUAUUGACUCUUUAUUAGCAAUCUGAAGUUCAUACGAACUACCAAAUUCAAAACUAAAAACUAGAAGAGAAAAAUGGCCAAUAGCGUACGUGAUAUUCAUUGAAGUGGAUAAUGCUCUCUUAGUAAGCAUCAGGAUUUGCCAGGAGGUAGGCUUCAAUGGCCUUGAACAUUCCCAAUGCCUUUUCUUUGCCUGCCUUGAUUCCCUCUUCCUUGAGCUCAAACUCACCAACGGUGUAAUACUUGCUACUAGUCUUGCAUAGAGAUCCCCCAUCCGGAGAGGCCUCCAAUUUCGUCUCGUAAGUGAUUUUCUCAAGCUUGUUCAUCAACGCAUCACCUUCGAUCACACUGUAAAUAUAUACAAAAUUUUCUUUGUCUACUGCUUCAACCUUCUGCUUCAUGUAUUUGAACUGGCUUCCUGCAUGAAGAAAAACACAUAAUGUUCACCCUUCUCCCUUCAAAAUUAAGAUAGAUAUAUGUAUAUGAUUCAAAGUAUAAAGUUAUAUAAAUGAGCUGACCUUCUCCAAAGGUGACCUUCUUGAUGCUACCAGGCUCACCAUUGCCUUCAAUGUACUCAAUGCUCUUAAAAGCCUGAGGAAGAAUCUUGGGAAUGAGAUUGUCACCAUCAAGAACGCAAGCCUUGAACAUCUUGGCAGGUGGUAUGGCUGUAACAACCUGAGAUUCGUAAGUGAAAACACCCAUGACUUUCUACUGAUUUCAGAAAUGAUCAAACAGGUUUUUGAGCUGUGGAGAUGUAGGCCAGAUGAUGUAGUAUUUAUAGACUGGGAACAAUGAAGAAUAGCCUCUUUCAAAUCCUAGCCAGGUGAUUCGUUUCUUCAUAUUUUAUCGGAUUGUUAAUUUAUUAGUUGAAAUUUUGUAAUAUAAAUUGGAAAUCACCACUUGCAAUA